UUCAAUCGCUCUGCGGUUGCCACGGUAGAUCACCGCCGUGACUUAUUCCCCUCUCGGCCGCCAGCGCAAUUCGUCCAAAUUAAGCAACACCGCUCACAGACUUUAUAAAUUGAGCACGCCAUGAGCUCUGUAGGGUAGUCAAGCACCAAGCCACCAAGCCGUGCCCUCAAUUGAUCACCAGAGCUCGCCAAUUUCCCAUUUCCCCCAAACCUGCUUUCCGCCACCGUGAAAGAGGCCUCGCCGUGGCCAUCUCAUCUUAGGUCCGCUCAUACCCUAUGUCCUUUCAUUUCAUUGUCCUUGUGUGCCCAUGAUGCUCCCCAACCCCGCCAAUUAGACUAGGACCCCUUAGAUCGCCGGGAACGCGUUUGAUUGUUCGUCGUGCCUGCUGCCACCGUGGACAGAGCAUGUUAGAGCGCCGUUAGUGAAAUUAGUUGAGGGGAAACUCUUGUUAGGGUUUGAAUUUGGUCUCAGCCAAAGUAGAGCACCGGUUGUUGCGGGAUCCGACCGAUACAAGCUCGCCGGAGCUCGGUUCCCCGCCGUUCGCCGUCGUGGACUGGGAUUGUGAAGAGAGGAAAGCGCAAGGGUGUUUCUGCAAGUGUCAGCGAGACAGAGGAAUAGUGGGAGGGACUCUUUAAAGAAUUUCAAAUCGUCAGGGCUCUCUGCGCAAAACCGACAGCGCGGGCGCGUUUCCGCCUGUAGAUGGGCCGACUUGGGCCAGUUCUGGUCCAGAACUGUUCAUGCUUUUUCCUUUUUCUUUUUCUGUCAGGGUUUAAGAAUUCCUAGAAAAUUAUAGAAAAAUGCUAGAAAUACCAGACCAAUUUUUCUAGACUUCUAAUUUCUUAUAGUAUUUAAUAAAAAUGGUUUCCUGGUUUUUAGUUCAAAUAGGGAAUUUUGGGGCAUUUAAGAUAACCAAAAUCCAUACUUCUCGAAUUUUAGAGAAUAAUUAAUAAUUCCAAAAUUCACCAAACUUUUUAGGUAAACUUUAAAUAUUAUUUAGAAGCCUUGGGUAAAGUUUGGUGUGAUUUGGACCAUGUUUGGUACUUAGAACCCAAAACCCUAGCCCCCAUGUGCCCUAUGAACUUCACUAUAGAAUCCGAAAACCCUAAUUUCCCGGAGAUCCAUGAAGGAAAGUUAUAUUCAAGACUUUAGAUAAUAUACUUUUAUUACCUUUGCAUUUUCAUGAGCAUCACAUGAGCAUUCAUGAUUAUAUAUGACUAUAUCUAGAGAACGAGGAGGAAAUAGAAGUUGAAGAAGCGAGGACUACACCACCACCACCUGAAGAACCUCAGGCAGGAAACUGAUUUUACUUUGAUAUCUGUAGAGCAGAGCCUGAUUCACCUAUCACUCAAGGCAAGCCCCGGUGCAUUUGCCACCUCCUUGCUAUUUUACAAUCCUUCUCACUUACUUGAUGCAUUAGGUGAUAGGAGUCAUGUGCUAAACCAAUUGCUGCAUUUCCUUCCUUGAAUUUGAUUACUUCUCCUUAAUCCCCUGUUUUACAAAAAGGUUUUUCUUAUGCUUAACUUUGCUCUAGAAAAACAAAAUGUUUUGUUUUGACAAAAGAUGAUGCUUCAAGUGGGUGGGAUGUUUUCAAAAAUAAAACUUGAUGGUGGAUCCAUCAUGACCAUGAUGGGUUCAACAUCGGAAAAGAUGUACCUCUGCCAGGUACCAAACUUUGGGUUUGAAAUGAUAAAAUUGAGACCGGGUGGGUGACUUGCACGAGAAGAGAGUCUCGGUGUAGUGUCUCCGUCUGAGUCGAUUAAGGACCUUGUCGAUGUAGGCUUGAUGAUCGAGGACCCUUUAACUGGUCACAUGCCUCGUCAUGGGUAAGCUUUGCCUCGGGCAGACUAAUACCAGAAUAAGAUAACACGCAAUGGGAGUGGAGAGAUGGUGAGAGUAGCGUGUACCCUCCGUGGCAAGAGACUGGACGGUGGUGUAUCUGUGCUCUCGGUUGGCGUGAACCUGAUCUGGUCUUAAGAACCCCAGUGGCGAGUUGACAUAUGCAAGGGUUAAGUGCUACAUAUGUCGUGUGAUUGGAGAUCCUCAGCUGAGUAUAAUCGAUUCAGAUCGCCGUAACUUCGCGGACAUGAAGACUUGGUCACUGCCCUACACGUAGCAUUCCAGUGAACAAGAAGGGUUGAAAAGAAAUUGGCUAGUAUAGGACAAGUGCUUGAACUAGGGUAGAAAGAACUCUAGAACACAUGUAAUGACUUAACUUGCUAAUAAAACUGGACUUUUAAGGAUCCAUUAUUAGUAAGCAUUUCUGCAAACGGAGUCAUUGAUUAUUGAAAAGCCAUACCUUGAUCCCCAACAGCCAGCAUACCCUUGAGAGUAUUUUAUUUUGACGGGUAAGACUUGCGAAAGUACAUUUCGUACUCAGGGCUUUGUCCCAUGUUGUUUUAGGUGAUGAAGCAGCAAACUUUUGUUGCUUCUGUUCCAAGGUGGUACCUAAAGAAGAAAAUCAAGACUGAAGCUGCGGGAGGAAGGGUCCUCCGUUAAGAAAAACUUUUUACUGUUUAUCGGGAGGGGUUUUUGCCUCCCAGGUUAUGUAAUAAUAUUACUCAGCACUCUUAUAUUUCGUUCUGAUCUAUAAUAAUACAACUCUUUCUUACUUUAAUAUAAAGUAAGUUAUUUUAAUUGCUUCCGCAUUUUCGUACCUCCGAUGUAUUGUAUUGUCUGCGUAGCGGGUGAAACGCUCUUGGGAAAGGUAAGGAAUACAGAUACCGAACUUGUCAAGUGAUCAGGGGCACCUGCAGGGUUGUCUGAGGUCCGUUGGACAAGGACGACUGUAGGUGGGCCUAAUGACUUGGGAGGUUUUGUCACAGCUGGUAUCAGAGCGAAGCCCAUCUCUGCAGAUGUUAUGAGACAUUUUCAAAAAGAAUUUUCAAAGACUUAUCUAGAAAAUUUCUUUCCUUCUUAUCUAACUACCUUCUAUACUUAAAGACCAGAUAGUAGAGUGCAAUGUAUAGAAGGUUGUGAAUCAACUAAGGUUGAUUCUGUAAUUAUACAUGCAUCAUACUAAAAACUAUGCUAAUAAGAUUUCCCCCCUCAUGGAGAUAUGCCACCAUGCACAAGAAAAACCGCGCGCAAGUCUACUGGAUCAAUUGGCGUACCUCGCCAUCAACUAGCUCCAAGGCAUGAGGACAGUGGUAGUGGUAGCAAUAAUCCUAUCGGAGAUCUGGAAGCUCAAGUAGAACAGCUUCGAACGGAGCUCCGUCACAGGAACAAGGUAUGGAUCGAGGAUGGUCAGCGAAUAAACGAGCUAAGAACUGACAUCCAACACUUGCAAGACCAACUUGCUGAACGAGAUUUAGCGCUCGAUUGGGCUGUUAACUCACGUUCACUUGCUUGGGCCAAGGAAGCCAAAGCUCGAGCCCGCGUGGAGGAGCUUAGCACAGUCGUGGACAACUUGCAGGUUUACUGUAAUACACUACAUGAGGAAGUUCAUGUAUUGUAUUCACAACUGCACCCUAACGUACCUGCGGAUCCUGUCGGGAUGGUAGCCGAACCUUUUGGAGCAGCGGGUGAAGCCCUUGGUGGGGAACUGGACCUUUUCAGGCCCCCUCCUUCAAUGAAUAUGGUUGACGAAUGGUCUCCUACACCCAACAGUGAAGCUACCAAAAGUGAUAAGAAGCUAGAGUAGUGUAGUAUAGAAAUAGUGUUAAUGUAUAAUAGGUAUUGUGGUCCUGUUGUAAAUUCGAGUCUGUAUCAUUACCUUUUAAAGUAAUGCAAAAUGGAUGGUUUGCUUUGGCAUAUUAUAUUUUCCAAAUGUUCUUUGCCUCAGAUGUCGUCCAGGACUCGUGGACAGGAUGGUGCGGGAACGUCCCGUGGGAGGGAAGCUACUCCUAACCCGCCACCAGUACCCCCAACCUUGGCUGAGGCUAUCGCUGCCUUAGUCAAUGCAACAGCCGACAACACCCGCUUUCUGCGGGAAAUGGCGGGACAACAAAUGCAACAGCAAGGCAGGCGAGCGUAUCCACAAGGACCCCGCGAAACUUCAUAUUUGGACUUCUCGGAGACACGUCCCCCAUUAUUUGUCAAGGCUGAAGAUCCUCUUGAAGCGGAUGAAUGGAUCCGGGUUAUCGAACAAAAGUUUGGGCUUCUCCGAUGCUCGGAGACUCAAAAGCCCUUAUUUGUGGCACAACAGUUGCGAGGCCCUGCCAGCACCUGGUGGGGAAAUUAUCUGGCUAUCUAGCCUGCUGGUCAUUAAAUUACCUGGGACGAAUUCAAACUGGCUUUCCGGGAGCACUAUAUUCCUGAAGGGGUGCUCCAUAUGAAACAGGAAGAAUUUAUGAAGCUCAAACAAGGUGGAGAUACUGUCACACAAUAUCUCAAUAAGUUCAACCACUUGUCCCAGUAUGCUAUUGAUCAAGUCAACACUGAUCUAAAGAAGAGAAAUUGCUUCAUGAGAGGCCUUAAUGACCGGCUGUAGCGAAAAAUGGCCACCUGCUUCGACCUAUCUUACAGCAGGGCUAUCAGCACGACACUGGCAGUCGAAGCCAAAUAUGCAGGCCUAGGAAAAUCAAAGGUCUAUGGAGGUGACAGGCCCAACCAGGGGUCUGAGAAGAGACAAAGGUUGGUGAUCCGACCUUUUAAUCAGAAUCGUUCUUUUCCACGUCCACCCUCCUACCCUUUCAAACAACCUGUCUUUAUCCGUCCUGCUGCUGCCCCCACCUCAACAAAUCAGCCGAGUGCCCCUGGUACUUGUUUCCCCGCCCUCCCAAGCUCCUCAACAGACUGCUUUAAUUGUGGAAAGUCCGGACAUUUUAUCAAGGACUGUCCAUACCCAAAGCAGAACAGAUCAAAUAAUCAACAGAGUUCAGAGAGUUCCACUCAAGGCAGGGGAAAUGCGGUGAAUAAUACAAUGGGCAAAAAUAUGAAGAAAACUGGGCGGAUUUAUUAUAUGCAAGUGGCCACGACACCGGAAGGAGAACCGGUUAUGAUGGCUACGUUUCUCGUGGCCAAUCACCCUGCAGUUAUUCUUUUUUAUUCUGGCGCUUCACAUACAUUCAUAAGCAAGAAGUUUGUGGAGCAACAUUGCAUUCCAUACAAUGAAUCAAGGGAAGGGUUUAUAAUUCAUUCGCCUGGGGGACAAAUAUUCACUAAAGAAGUGGCUUUCCAUGUGCCCGUAACAUUGGCUGAACGGGACUUUCCCACAAAUAUGAUUGUUCUAAAAGGCCAAGAUAUAGAUGUAAUUCUGGGCAUGAAUUGGUUAGCCCAACAUAAAGCUAUCCUCAACACUGAUCUGAGAACCAUCAGGUUGAGUUAUGGCCAAGAAGAGGUUCUCUUGUCCAUCCAUGUAUCUAUUCCAGCUAAACCAAUUGGCAGAGUAUAUGAAGCCAUCAUACCGGAGAUCCAAGAUAUUCCGGUAGUAUGUGAAUUCCUGGACGUCUUUCCAGAAGAUUUGCUUGGAUUGCCUCCAGAAAGAGAUGUAGAAUUUGUGAUUGAGUUGAAGCCCAGUACGACUCCUAUUUCUAGAAGGUCGUACCGAAUGCCUCCGAAUGAAUUGGCAGAACUCAAGACCCAAUUACAAGAUCUAUUAGAAAAGGGAUUCAUCCGACCAAGCUCAUCACCUUGGGGUUGUCCAGUCAUCUUUGUCAAGAAGGACCAAACACUUUGGAUGUGCAUGGAUUAUAGACCCCUUAAUGAGGUCACAAUCAAGAAUAAGUACCCUCUUCCCCGGAUUGACAUCCUAUUUGAUCAACUUACCGGAGCUUGGGUAUUUUCCAAAAUUGACCUCAGGUCGGGUUAUCAUCAGAUCCAUAUCCGACCCGAAGAUAUACCCAAGACCGCAUUCACUACACGGUACAAAUUAUUUAAAUAUUUGGUUAUGUCUUUCGGACUAACAAAUGCUCCUGCCCACUUCACAUAUCUUAUGAACUCGUUAUUCAUGCCCGAGUUGGAUAAAUUUGUGGUGGUAUUCAUUGAUGAUAUCUUGAUAUAUUCCAAGAAUGAAGAGGAGCAUGCUCGACAUUUACAGAUCAUAUUAACGUGCUUAAGGGAGCACCAAUUAUAUGCUAAGUUCAGUAAGUGCGCAUUCUGGCUGGAGGAGAUCCAAUUUCUGGGACAUGUAUUAUCUGCCAAGAGGAUUGCGGUGGAUCCCAGCAAAGUCAAGGAUAUUUUGGAGUGGAAACCCCCAACCACUGUACAUCAAGUCCAAAGUUUCCUUGGAUUGGCUGUUUAUUACCGCCGCUUUAUUCCAGAUUUUUCCAAGCUUGUGAAACCAAUCACAAGUUUAUUGAAGAAUGAUACUAAAUUUAAUUGGUCUUCAAGAUGUAAUGAAGCCUUUGAGCAGCUGAAAGUAUUAUUGACCACUGCUCCGGUAUUAGCUCAACCGGACAUUGAAAAACCCUUUGAUGUGUAUUGUGACGCAUCAGGCAGUGGUCUAGGCUGUGUUCUAAUGCAAGAAGGCCAAGUGAUAGCUUAUGCUUCAAGGCAGUUGUGCCAACAUGAGGAACAUUAUCCAACUCAUGACCUGGAGUUAGCUGCUGUGGUUCAUGCCCUAAAAAUAUGGCGUCAUUGUCUGAUAGGGAAUAUCUGUCAUAUUUACACAGAUCAUAAAAACUUGAAGUAUAUCUUUACCCACUCAGAGCUUAAUAUGAGACAGAGGAGAUGUCUUGAGCUUAUUAAGGAUUAUGAACUGGAGAUUCACUAUCACCCAGGCAAGGCUAAUGUAGUGGCAGAUGCGUUAAGUCGCAAAGCUUCCUGCCAUUGUCUGACGAUGAAGACUUCUGACAUUACGUUAUGCCAAGAAAUGGAGAAGUUGAACCUUGGAAUGAUUCAACAUGGAACUUCAAAUCACUUGAAGCUUGAGUCAGUCCUCCUGCAAAGAAUAAUCGACGCACAAAGAAAUGAUAAGGGUAUGGAACACAUUCAUGAGAAAAUAGAGGCCGGUAAAGCCAACUGCUUUAGAAGAGAUGAUCAAGGUGUUGUAUGCUUUAACAACCGCAUAGUUGUGCCCAAGAAUGAUGAAAUCCGCCAGCAAAUUUUAGAUGAAGCACAUCUUAGUCGCUAUUCUAUUCAUCCCGGAAGCACUAAGAUGUAUAAUGAUCUAAAACAACAUUAUUGGUGGACGAAGAUGAAGAUUGAAAUUGCACGCUAUGUGGCAAGAUGUGACACUUGUAGACGUGUCAAGGCCGUACACAUGAAAGCUACUGGUCCAUUACAAUCUUUACCUAUCCCUACAUGGAAAUGGGAGGAUAUAAGCAUGGACUUUAUUGUGGGAUUGCCCAGGACAGCAAAAGGGUAUGAUUCCAUCUGGGUUAUCAUUGAUCGACUUACAAAGAUUGCCCACUUCCUCCCAGUCAAAGUAAAGUAUCCAGUAAUCGCAUAUGCGGAACUGUACAUUGCUCGCAUCCUCAGUUUGCAUGGGGUUCCAAAGACUAUAGUGUCGGAUCAUGGACCUCAAUUCUUUUCCAAAUUCUGGGAAGAACUUCACAAAUCCUUGGGUACUAAAUUGCUCCACAGUUGGCCUAUCAUCCCCAAACUAGUGGUCGGACUGAAAGGGUAAAUCAGAUACUUGAAGACAUGUUGCGAGCAUGUGUUCUGGAGUUUCCGCAAAAAUGGGAUGACUGUUUACCAUUAGCGGAGUUCUCGUACAAUAAUAGCUAUCAAGAGAGUAUUAAAAUGGCACCCUUUGAAGCUUUGUAUGAGCGACAGUGUCGUACUCCGUUAAACUGGUCUGAACCAGGUGAGAGAUAUUUCUUCAGGACUGAUAUGGUAAAGGAGACAGAAGAGAAAGUUCAACGAAUAAUUCAUAAUUUGAAAGAAGCCCAAGCUCGUUAGAAGAGUUAUGCAGACAAGCGACGAAAACCCUUGUACUUUCUAGUUGGGGAUUAUGUCUACCUCAAAGUCUCACCGAUGAAGGGUAUAUCACGUUUCGGGGUAAAAGGGAAGCUUGCACCCUGGUACAUUGGUCCUUUUCCUGUUCUUGAACAAUGUGGACCAGUGGCAUACCGACUCCAGUUACCCGAAACAUUGUCUGCUGUGCAUAAUGUGUUCCACGUGUCUCAAUUGAAGAAGUGUCUUCGGGUUCCCGAUCGAACCAUUGAAGUAAUGGAUGUUGCCUUAGAACCAGACUUGACAUAUUCUGAACAUCCUAUUCGAGUCUUGGAUCAAAAGGACAGAAUUACCCGAAGGAAAACUCUCAAGUUUUACACGAUACAGUGGAACCAACACACGGAAGAUGAAGCUACUUGGGAAACUCAAGACUUUUUAGAUAAGAAUUUCCCAGACUUCUUAGCUUCGUGUAAAUUGUAAGAUAUGUACAUUUGUUGUAAUAAGAGGAAUGAACCCCAUAUCGCCCCUGUCUUGUACCAAAAAUAAGGAAAUAAAAUUAUGUCGCGUUUCCUUUUCCAUUACUUGCCCUAGACUUUUAAUCUCGGGACGAGAUUCUUUUAUGGGGGAAAGGAUGUAACACCCCUGGUGUUACUGCCACUAAAAAUUGAGCAUGACAUCAUAAGCAUUGGCAUAUCAUGUGUUUGUCACACCUAGAAUGCAUUCACUAGGCAAAAAUUUCAAACAAAGUUGUAUUGAUGUGACAUUUCAUGGGUGAAACCCUAGGAUACAGUGCAUAAUCCUAGAGUAGGCUUAAGGGAGUAAACAAAGCCUAAUAAGAGAAAACUUCAAAACUUAGUUGUAAUAAUCAUAAAAUAUCACCAUGAAUGGACUUAAGUAGCAUCCCAACCCUAGAAGUGCCAAAAACCCUAAAUAGGCCCCUGAAAAACCCUGGACUGAAACCCUAGGGGGUUAUCUAUAAAAGUGUGCAAAUUUUGGACCUAAGUGCAAAAAUUAUGGAAAUAGGUUAUCUUAAGUCAUAUGGUUCACAUAUUUGGAGAUUUGCAAAUGAAACCAUAAGUUUUGGGCUUAUUUGCAAAAAGGUCACAUUUGUGCUCCAAUGACUAAGUUUGAAUAUCAGUGAAUGGGGUCAACUUUGAAGCCUUGUGCCUUCAAAUUCAUAAGGAUUUUGCCUAGGGUCAGCACAUCAAAAUUGUAGAGCUAUGUAAGGAGAACAACUUUGCUAUAGGGAUUAAGCCUUGGUCACUUGAAAAAUUUGGAGUUAAAUGAGCCCAAAGUCGAGCUAUCAGACUGCCCUAAAUCUGAAUUCAGACUGACAGUGGGAUUGGAUGAACUUAGGGCUCAAUUUUAAACAAGAUCCUGUGACUUUUUGUGGGUGCACAAUGUAGCAAAGUUGGAGCUGGUUUAUUAGCCUAUAACUUUGCUACAGAGCAUUGACCUAGUUAUCAUACAAAAUUGGGAGGAAAUUCACCCCAAACACGGUCUGUCAGACUGACUGAUGAAGCUUCGCGAUGAUACAGUAACCGGAUUGGAUCGCCAGCUCAGAGACCUCGCCGCUGGCGACCACGCGCGCGGAUCCGUGCUAUCGCCGUGAUUCACGCUGAAUUAAACAUGGAUAACGAUCACAGGGUGAAAGAUCUCGCCUCGGAUAGGGCUAGAAUGUACUGUGUGCUUGAUGGUUCAUCAGUGCACACCGACGACGUGGCCGAGCGGCAAUCACCAGCAUGUUCACCGUUCACUGGGUGGACGCCACGCCUUAGGAGGAUUAUCGCGUCAGUAUGAGCCGAAGUGACCAUCCAAUGACCGCCUAGUUCAGUCGCUCUGCGGUUGCCACGAUAGAUCGCCGCCGUGACUCAUUCCCCUCUCGACCGCCAGCGCAAUUCGUCCAAAUUAAGCAACACCGCUCACGGACUCUAUAAAUUGAGCAUGCCAUGAGCUCUGUAGGGUAGUCAAGCACCAAGCCACCAAGCCGUGCCCUCAAUUGAUCACUAGAGCUCGACAAUUUCCCAUUUCCCCCAAACCUGCUUUCCGCCACCGUGAAAGAGGCCUCACCGUGGCCAUCUCGUCUCAGGUCCGCUCAUACCCUCUGUCCUUUCGUUUCAGUGUUCUUGUGUGCCCCUGAUGCUCCCCAACCCCGCCAAUUAGACUAGAACCCCUUAGAUCGCCGGGAACACGUUUGAUUGUUAGUGAAAUUAGUUGAGGGGAAACUCUUGUUAGGGUUUGAAUUUGGUCUCAGCCAAAGUAGAGCACCGGUCGUUGCGGGAUCCGGCCGGUACAAGCUCGCCGGAGCUCGGUUCCCCGUCGUUCGCCGUCGUGGACUAGGGAUUGUGAAGAGAGGAAAGCGCAAGGGUGUUUCUGCAAGUGUCAGCGAGACAGAGGAAUAGUGAGAGGGACUCUUUAAAGAAUUUAAAAUUGUCAGGGCUCUCUGCGCAAAACCGACAGCGCGGGCACGUUUCCGCCUGUAGAUGGGCCGACUUGGGCCAGUUCCGGUCCAGAACUGUUCAUGCUUUUUCCUUUUUCUUUUUCUGUCAGGGUUUAAGAAUUUCUAGAAAAUUAUAGAAAAAUGCUAAAAAUACCAAACCAAUUUUGCUAGACUUCUAAUUUCUUAUAGUAUUUAAUAAAAAUGGUUUCCUGAUUUUUAGUUCAAAUAGGGAAUUUUGGGGCAUUUAAAAUAGCCAAAAUCCAUACUUCUCGAAUUUUAGAGAAUAAUUAUCAAUUCCAAAAUUCACCAAACUUUUUAGGUAAACGUUAAAUAUUAUUUAGAAGCCUUGGGUAAAGUUUGGUGUGAUUUGGACCAUGUUUGGUACUUAGAACCCAAAACCCUAGCCCCCCUGCCCUAUGAACUUCACUAUAGACUCCGAAAACCCUAAUUUCCUAGAGAUCCAUGAAGGUAAGUUAUAUUCAAGACUUUAGAUAAUAUACUUUUAUUAUCUUUGCAAUUUCAUGAGCAUCACAUGAGCAUUCAUGAUUAUAUAUGACUAUAUCUAGAGAACGAGGAGGAAAUAGAAGUUGAAGAAGCGAGGACUACACCACCACCACCUGAAGAACCUCAGGCAGGAAACUGCUUUUACUUUGAUAUUUGUGGAGCAGAGCCUGAUUCACCUAUCAGUCAAGACAAGCCCCGGUGCAUUUUCCACCUCCUUGCUAUUUUAAAAUCCUUCUCACUUACUUGAUGCAUUAGGUGAUAGGAGUCGUGUGCUAAACCAAUUGCUGCAUUUCCUUCCUUGAAUUUGAUUACUUCUCCUUAAUCCCCUGUUUUACAAAAAGGUUUUUCUUAUGCUUAACUUUGCUCUAGAAAAACAAAAUGUUUUGUUUUGACAAAAGAUGAUGCUUCAAGUGGGUGGGAUUUUUAAAAAAAUAAAACUUGAUGGUGGAUCCAUCAUGACCAUGAUGGGUUCAACAUCGGAAAAGAUGUACCUCUGCCAGGUACCAAACUUUGGAUUUGAAAUGAUAAAAUUGAGACCGGGCGGGUGACUUGCACGAGAAGAGAGUCUCGGUGUAGUGUCUCCAUUUGAGUCAAUUAAGGACCUUGUCGAUGUAGGCUUGAUGAUCGAGGACCCUUUAACUGGUCACAUGCCUCAUCAUGGGUAAGCUUUGCCUCGGGCAGACUACUACCAGAAUAAGAUAACACGCAAUGGGAGUGGAGAGAUGGCGAGAGUAGCGUGUACCCUCCGUGGCAAGAGGCUGGACGGUGGUGUAUCUGUGCUCUCGGUUGGUGUGAACUUGAUCUGGUCUUAAGAACCCCGGUGGCGAGUUGACAUAUGCAAGGGUUAAGUGCUACAUAUGUCGUGUGAUUGGAGAUCCUCAGCUGAGUAUAAUUGAUUUGGAUCGCCGUAACUUCGCGGACAUGAAGGCUUGGUCACUGCCCUACACGUAGCAUUCCAGUGAACAAGAAGGGUUGAAAAGAAGUUGGCUAGUAUAGGUCAAGUGCUUGAACUAGGGUAGAAAGAACUCUAGAACAUAGGUAAUGACUUAACUUGCUAAUAAAACUGGACUUUUAAGGAUCCAUUAUUAGUAAGCAUUUCUGCAAACAGAGUCAUUGAUUAUUGAAAAGCCAUACCUUGAUCCCCAACGACCAACAUAUCGUUGAGAGUCUUUUAUUUUGACGGGUAUAACUUGCGAAAGUACAUUUCGUACUCAGGGCUUUGUCCCAUGUUGUUUUAGGUGAUGAAGCAGCAAAUUUUUGUUGCUUCUGUUCCAAGGUGGUACCUAAAGAAGAAAAUCAAGACUGAAGCUGCAGGAGGAAGGGUCCUCCGUUAAGAAAAACUUUUUACUGUUUAUCGAGAGGGGUUUUUGCCUCCCAGGUUAUGUAAUAAUAUUACUCAACACUCUUAUAUUUCGUUCUGGUCUGUAAUAAUACAACUCUUUCUUACUUUAAUAUAAAGUAAGUUAUUGUAAUUGCUUCCGCAUUUUCGUACCUCCGAUGUAUUGUAAUGUCUGCGUAGCGGGUGAAACGCUCUUGGGAAAGGUAAGGAAUACAGAUACUGAACUUGUCAAGUGAUCAGGGGCACCUGUAGGGUUGUCUGAGGUCCGUUGGACAAGGACGACUGUAGGUGGGCCUAAUGACUUGGGAGGUUCUGUCACAAAUUAUUUGAAUUUAAU
rnacentral:lncRNA from 1 species